AUUGAACGCUGGCGGCAGGCCUAACACAUGCAAGUCGAACGAGUGGCGGACGGGUGAGUAAUGUCUGGGGAUCUGCCCGAUGGAGGGGGAUAACUACUGGAAACGUUAGCUAAUACCGCAUACUAUCGGAUGUACCCAUAUGGGAUUAGCUAGUAGGUGGGGUAAAGGCUCACCUAGGCGACGAUCCCUAGCUGGUCUGAGAGGAUGAUCAGCCACACUGGGACUGGGACACGGGCCAGACUCCUACGGGAGGCAGCAGUGGGGAAUAUUGCACAAUGGGCGCAAGCCUGAUGCAGCCAUGCCGCGUGUAUGAAGAAGGCCUUAGGGUUGUAAAGUACUUUCAGCGGGGAGGCGUUACUCGCAGAAGAAGCACCGGCUAACUACGUGCCAGCAGCCGCGGUAAUAC
rnacentral:rRNA from 1 species